ensembl:miRNA
UUAGGUUGGUGCAAAAGUAACUGUGGUUUUUGCCAUUGAAAGUAAUGGCAGAAACUGCAAUUACUUCUGCACCAACUUAAUA